rnacentral:rRNA from 1 species
UACAGAGGUCCCGAGCGUUGUUCGGAUUCAUUGGGCGUAAAGGGUGCGUAGGCGGCGGGGAAAGUCUGAUGUGAAAUCCGUGGGGCCUCAACCCUGGAACUGCAUUGGAUACUUCCUUGCUAGAGUACUGGAGAGGAAACUGGAAUUUACGGUGUAGCAGUGAAAUGCGUAGAGAUCGUAAGGAAGACCAGUGGCGAAGGCGAGUUUCUGGACAGUUACUGACGCUGAGGCACGAAGGCCAGGGGAGCAAACGGG